GAUGAACGCUGGCGGCGUGCCUAAUACAUGCAAGUCGAGCGAACAGACGAGGAGCUUGCUCCUCUGACGUUAGCGGCGGACGGGUGAGUAGCACGUGGAUAACCGACCUAUAAGACUGGGAUAACUUCGGGAAACCGGAGCUAAUACCGGAUAAUAGAUUGAACCGCAUGGUUCAAUAGGGAAAGACUGUUUUUCUGUCACUGAUAGAUGGAUCCGCGCCGCAUUAGCUAAGUGGUAAGGUAACGGGUUACCAAGGCAACGAUGCGUGGCCGACCUGAGAGGAUGAUCGGCCACACUAGCACUGAGACCCGGUCCCGAACCCUACGGGAGGCACCAGUCGGGAAUCUUCAGCCAUGGGCGAAAGCGUGUAGGAGCAACGCGGAGUGAGUGAUGAAGAUCUUCGGAUCGUAAAACUCUCUUAUUAGCGAAGAAAAAAGGUGUAAUUCACUAUACACGUCUUGACGGUACCUAACCAGAAGACCACGGCUAACUACGUG
rnacentral:rRNA from 1 species